AGUUCUGCAAUCACUCUCCUUUUUAUGAGCUUUCUUUUCAUCUUCUCCUUAAUGAAUGUAAGUUUUCCUUCUUUUUUUUGUUUGAGUUUUGGGUCCUAUUUUGUUGAUUUUAUAUUCAAUUGUUUUGAUAAUAUUGCUUCCAAUUUUUGCUACUUUGUUGGUAUGUCGUUGUAGGUAUGUUGCAUGGACAAAAUUCUAUGUUGAAUCCUCUCUUCUUCAUCAUCUUUUAUGCACAAGAGUGCAGAAUUUUUCAGUGGAAGCAUUAUGUUGAACCACAAGAGCAGUGAAGCAACUUCUACUAUCAUAUCGUCAUUGGCUAAGAGAUGUAUUCGAGCUAUAUGAUACAUGGGUUACCAACGAGGCAACGAUUAGUGAUUUCACAAAGGCCCAAGCACUUGUAAUGUGUUGUCAUUGUAUAUCACAUACAUGGCGUGUUCCUCAAACAUAAAAGGUAAUAUGGAGAUAGGCAACUCUCAUUUGCUUGGAGUGCAACUUGAAUCAAUUUUUUUCGUCUCUGGGAGUAGAAAAAUAGGAGUAUUACAUGGUGUCCACUUUGUGACUUCACAAACACUCAUCAACUUUUACUUUUGGAAAUUGGUUAAGAGAGAGUUAUGUGGACAUGGGUAUAAAAUUAGCUGACGUGACUAACCAAGACAUGUCUGAAUGGUUCGGAAAGCAUUUCAAGUAAGUUGCACUCAUUGUGAUUAUCUUCGGUGCUACUUUGAAUAGGUUCUAAAUGUAUAAUUAAGUUAUUGCAUUGUGUCGUUGGUGUUGGUAAUUUAACACAUUUAUUUUAAUACAUUUUCACAUUUUUCAUAGAUUCUUAAUAGUUAUUUGACCAAGAUGGUUAUUGAUACAUGCUUUACACUUUACAGAACUUCUGCGCUAGCAUAAGGGAAAAAAAGUUGGAAGGCGUAGUAAUUUAAGUUACAUAAAGAAUGAAAAUAUAGAAAAUUAUUGACCUUGAUCAAAUGUUGAUGAUAAAUGAUUAUCUCAGUAGCUAUACUCACGGUUUCUACCCAAUGCCAGGAAUAAGUGGAAAGAGUUUUCAAGUAAUUGUAGAUAAAUUAAAAAUCCGAUGGAAAGCAUAUAUUUAUUUCUAUUUUGUGUAUGAACAAAUUGUUUUGUCAUACGUGGAUGCUGAACUGGCAUUCGUAAAUUGACUUGAUCUUCUUUUUUCGUAGAUUUUACUUGAAUCAUUCUAUGCAUAUGAAUGAGUUGCAUUGUGCUUGGCUAAUAACCAAAGCAAGAGUGAGGUUUGCUUAUGGAUGGUAUAAAUAUUGCAAACUUGAACUUUCUUUCGAACUAUGGAUACGAUAUGUUGU